AUUUAUUUGGAAGGUAGACUGGCGAGCCGGAGGCGAUGCCCAUUGCCGGGCCUCUGCCUGAACCCUCGCCCAUCCUUUCCCGUGCCGUCGAUGGCUGCUCGAACCUCAAUUCCGUCGGAGAAAUGAAGCUAUUGCAGUGGGAACUAGUGGUGUGGUACAAUGGGAAAGCCCCAUGGCUGCAUAUUAAUUCCAGGCAGGUUCAUUGAGGAGGAUGGAAAGGAAGCCCAUGCUGCUGGUGCUGGACAAGUCUUGGGGGACUGGGGCAGGUAGAACCAGCAGCAGUUGGGGCACAAAUGCAAGGAUAACUUGGUGAGCAUAACAGCUAAAAGAUUGUUUCAAGUGGGAGCUGUCAAAAACAAAUCAGUUGAUGUUUAAUCUUUUGAUAUGUGAAGUGCAUCUCUCCUAUCCUCUUUCAUAUAGCUCUGUGUUUUCCAAUCUAAAUUAUAAUCGAAUGAUUAGUUCCUUCUCUACUCUCAUUAUCCAAGCACUGUAUUACCUAACAUGAUUGUACUUUUUCUAUGCUUAUGCAACAUGAAGUAAAUGCCUCCCACUAAAACCAUGGAUAUUUUU